GGGGAAGCACUGGAAGGAAGGUACGCCAUUUCUUUUCUGGCUCUAAUCCUUGGGCAUUUAGCUUUAGGAUGGGCUAUAAGAUCAAAAAGGCUAACGAGAUGUUGAAUAAGAUUGCAGCUGAAAAGGCCAAGUUUCAUCUGACUGAAAAACAUGAAACUAAUGUCAUACAUCGUGAGAGGGAAACCUACUCCUUUGUUAAGACAUCUAGUGUCAUCGGUCGAGAUGAAGCUAAACAACACCUAGUUAACUUCUUAAUGAAUCCAACUGAUGGGGAAGAUCUCCCUGUCCUUCCCAUAGUUGGGAUCGGAGGUAUUGGGAAAACUACCCUGGCCCAAUUGGUGUUUAACGAGGAGAGUGUGAAGUCGCAUUUUGAAUUGAGAAUCUGGGUGUGUGUUACAGAGGAUUUUGACAUGAAACAACUGAUGAUAAAAAUCAUUAAAUCUGCCACUGGUAUGAACUGCAAGGACAUGAAUAAGGAGGAAUUACAUAAAGUUUUGCAAGAUUGUUUGAAUGGUAAAAGAUUUUUUAUGGUACUAGAUGAUGUCUGGAACGAGGACAAGAAGAAAUGGAGUGAGCUGAAAGAUUUGUUGUGUGGGGGAGCCCAAGGGAGUAGAAUCAUUGUCACAACUCGUAGCCGCAAAGUGGCUACAAUCACAGGCACAAUCCCUCCAUACGAUUUAGAGCAUCUUUCUUACGACAGUUGUCUAUCAUUGUUUCUUAAACUUGCAUUUAAAGAAGGUGAAGAGAAACAACAUGACAAUCUUGUAAGAAUCGGGGAAGGAAUUGUUCAAAAAUGCAAAGGGGUUGCUUUGGCCGUGAAGACUUUAGGCAGCCUACUCUGUUCAACUAGGGUACAACAUGAUUGGGAACUUGUGAGAGAUAGUGAGCUAUGGAAGUUGAAGCAGGAGGAAAAUGACAUCUUGCCUGCUCUAAAACUAAGUUAUGAUCAUUUGCCCUGGUAUUUAAAGCAAUGUUUCGCCUUUUGUUCAGUUUUUCCAAAAGAUUUUGAAUUCAAUCCUCUCUAUUUGAUCCCGUUGUGGAUGGCAAAUGGCUUUUUGCAAUCACCAUACGAAAAUGAAGAGCCAGAAGAUAUUGGGAAUCGGUAUAUACAAGAGUUACUAUCAAGAUCUUUCUUCCAACAAGUUGAAGAUAAGUUUUUAACUUUCACCUUCAAAAUGCAUGAUCUAGUACAUGAUCUUGCAUUAUCAGUAGUGCAAAAUGAGGUGAAUUCAUGUAACCAUUAUUCAACUGGGAAUGUUCGACAUUUAUUGUUUGAUCUAUUGAAGCAAGAUGGUUCGCAGUUACCGAAUAACUUGAGCUGUCUGCAAUCACUUUUCUUAUUAGAUGAAGAAGGCAAGGCUGAUAGCGAAUCUCUUAUUGCCAAAGUCAUCUCAAGGUCUAAACAUUUGAGGGUGCUACAUAUGUCUGGCUGCAGUUUUGAGCAUUUGCCAAACAAUAUACGUUAUUUAAAGCAGUUGAGAUAUUUGAACCUGGCCUACAAUGGAAAUAUAAAGAGACUUCCAAAUUCCAUUUGCAAUUUGCAGAGUUUGGAAAUACUUGACCUCGGUGGAUGUACGAGAAUUGAAGAGUUACCAAAAGACAUAAGGUACCUGAUUAGCCUUAGAAAAUUAAUGGUAACAACAAAACAGACACGUUUGCAAGAGAAUGGUAUAUGUUGCCUAAGUACUCUUCGGAUUUUGGCCUUCUUUGAAUGUGAAAAUUUAGAAAAGUUGUGUGAAGACAUUCAAAACCUAACAGCCCUCCGAGAAUUGUACAUCGAAGAAUGCAACAACUUGGUUUCAUUGCCACAAGGUUUAAAAUACCUAACUACAUUAGAAAAUUUGGCAAUUGUAAAUUGUGAAAAGCUUGAUCUCACUAUGGAGGAGUUGGAACUUGAGAGGAAAGAAGAUGGUAGCCUUCGAAAAUUGUGGAUUGGAGGAGUGCCAAAGCUGGAGUCACUACCCCAAUGGAUCCUUCUAGGAUCCACCAAAACUUUGCAGCACUUGUAUAUUGGAGAAUUGGAGAAUGUCUCGAGGUUACCAACGUGGUUCCAAGAUCUCACAUCCCUUCAAAGUCUAUACAUUAAAAAUUGCCCAAAGCUGUCGUCUCUGGCAGAAGGGAUGCAACACCUCACUGCACUCAAAAGACUAAUGAUUGGAGGGUGUCCAAAAUUAAGCAAAAGAUGCAUUGAAGAAACCGGUGAAGACUGGCCUAAGAUUGCUCAUGUCGUUGACAUUAUUGUGGAGUCAUGAAGGCCUCAAUAACAUAUGAUGAAAACAUAAUGUAAGUCACCAAACACUAAUCUAUUUGAUACAUAUAUCUUAUUAACUUUUUAAAUGUUAAUAUUUCUAAAUUAAAUUAGGCUCCAAAUACUACUUUAUUUCUCAUUAAGAUAAUUGAAUUUUAUCUACUCUAAAGCAAAUAAAACUUCACUCAUAAUUAGUAUUAAAAUUUUACUCAAAAUGUUAGUAAAAAUAUUAUCAGUUAGAACUUGAGAAGAAAGAAGAUGGUAGCCUUCGGAAUUUGUGGAUUGGAGGAGUGUCAAAGCUGGAGUCACUACCCCAAUGGAUUCUUCUAGGAUCAACCAAAACUUUGCAGCGCUUGUACAUCGGUAACUUGGAGAAUGUCUCGACGUUACCAAUGUGGUUCCAACAUCUCACAUCCCUUCAAAGUCUUAACAUUAUAAAUUGCUCAAAGUUGUUGUCUCUACCAGAAGGGAUGCAACACCUCACUGCAAUCAAAAAAUUAAGGAUCGAAGGGUGUCCAAAAUUAAGUAAAAGAUGCAUUGAAGAAAGUGAAGACUGCCUAAGAUUGCUCAUGUCCCUAAGAUUUUUGGAAGAAACAGAUGAUAUAAGGUAAGUCAUCGAACACUACUCUAUUUUAUAUAUAUCUUAUUAGCUUUUAAAUUUAAUAUUUCUAAAUUAAAUUAUGUACCAAAUAUUACUCUAUUUUUCAUUACCAUAAUUGAAUUUUAUUUACUCGAAAGCAAAUAAAUCUUCAUUUAAAAAAUUGGCAUUACAAAUUUACUUAAAAUAUUACUUCCAAUUUACAUCUCAUCCUUUUAAAUGAUAAAAGUUGAAGAAAAAAUAGUACAACGCCUCAAUUUAAUGUUAUGGUAGAGUUUUUCUAACUGAACUUUUGUAUCUUUUAAGGUGGAUCAAUUAGGACUGAAAUAUAGCAUCCGGUCGAGCUCUUCUUUAGUGCCAAUGUUGAAGUUGGCCUCCAUGCAAACAAAGAAGCAAGGAAGCUGUCCGAGCCUUGCAGGUGCAGCUGAAGCUCAUGCUGCUGUUGUGUUUCAUUUUGUUUUUUGUUACUUCAAUUGAUGUUUUGUAACUUAGUUAGAUAUGAACUAAGUUGUUAAUGUACUUGAUGUAAUUUGUUGAUGUUUGAGCUGAUAAAUCAGCUUUACCAAGUGUGCAAGUUUUGGUUAAAAAUCAUUAAAUCUGCCACCGGCAGAGAGUGCAAGGACAUGAAUAAGGAGGAAUUACAUAAAGUUUUACAAGAUUGUUUGAAUGCUAAAAGAAUUUUUAUGGUCCUGGAUAAUGUCUGGAACGAGGACAAGAAGAAAUGGAGUGAGCUGAAAGAUUUGUUGUGUGGGGGAGCCCAAGGGAGUAGAAUCAUUGUCACAACUCGUAGCCGCAAAGUGGCUACAAUCACAGGCACAAUCCCUCCAUACGAUUUAGAGCAUCUUUCUUAUGACGAUUGUCUAUCAUUGUUUCUUAAACUAUUACAACCUACAUACCUGGUUUUUUUUAAAGAAAAACAUCCAGCUUCCCAAAUUCUUUUCAGCACCUUCACAAAAUGUUAGCCCACAAUUAUUUACCCCCCACAGCUUACAUGAUAAGCUGUACCACCAUCAACACGUUGGAACUCGAUGUCUACCUUUUCCGCUUGGACUUCAAGGAGGUGACCGACUGGGAAUUGCUGUGCCAAUUGCGCUUCCUUUGGUUGAUGAACCAGUUGUUGAUUUGCUUUAGUUGCAAUCCAGUUUCCUCCACAAGUUUGGCCUUGUCAUCUUCCUGCAUUUUGUCAACUCAUUAAUUUAUUCAAGGGUUUAUGUUUUGGCAAAAAUAUAUAUAUAUAUUUAAUUGGAAGUUGAUGUUUAGUUGGUUACAGUUGGGUAUGGCCACUUUGAAUAGUCAAUCUGUUUUUUUAGUUCCAACAGGCAAGAUAAUAAUUAUGAAUUGUCAUUGACUCCUCCAACUUGGGUCGAAAAAACAAUGCGACUUGAUAAUUAUCAAAUUGACCGUAAUCUUCUUUUGUCCUUAGGAGUCCAUCACAAUCUUAAAUGCUUUCUUAUAUAUGUUAAAAUUAGUUUUUGAAUUGUUUGGUUUCCAAUGUUUAUUGGUAAUCUGAUUUUGUAUUAGAGACAAUGAUGUAAUAAUUUGAUUUUUUUAUGUGUACGAGUGUAAUCAUCUCUAAUUUGCUAUGACUAAAAGGAAAGUUCAAAGGUUUUAAUUUAGGUUAAAAUAUGGCUAACUGCUUCUAAUACCCGUAAACUAUAUUAUGGUUGAGCUUUAUUUGCAAUGGGUGUUUAAUCAUGGACUUAAAAGUUCAAAGUUCAAAGGAGAGGAUUUAUUAAACCAAAACAGGUUUUUAGCGGCAUUUUUUAGAAGCGUCGCUAAUGCUCGAGUCUUUAGCGGUGCUUUGUCAAAAAUGCCGCUAAAGCUCAGGUCUUUAACGGCGCUUUUUCAAAAACGCUGCUAAUGCUCGUGUCUUUAGCGGCGCUAAUCCCAAAUUGAUCCUCCAUGCCAAAAUGAGCGGAAAUGAGUUUAAAAGAUGUCCAAAACAUUAACAUUUAAACAUUUGUUAAGAAUUUUUCUUUUGUUUUCAAUAUAAAUGGCUUAAAAAAUGAAAAAAAGUCUUAAACUUUGUUUGAUUAAAAAUUUUUGUAUAUAAAAAGGAACAUCUUUAAAUUUAUGUGGAUGGUUUUUAUUUAGUUUCAUUAAUAUGGGGAGAUUAAAGAUUGGUGGAGAUUUUACCUAACAAAUUAUUAUAGAAAGAGAGAAUAUGGAUUUAACUCCUUUUGAGAAUCCAUUCCCCAAUGAGUUGUAUGGUGUAUCAAUUACGCAUGUAUGAAUAUAUUUUCCUUCCACCAUGUGCUGCCACGAAACUUAGAGCCAAUAUUGUGGAUUCCCGGAGAAUUAGAAGAUAAAAGAAAACCUAUGGGAGAUUCCUGUAAGGGUUACUGGUUUAAGAUUGGUUUUGGAUUUUGCAGGAAAGAUAUGCUGCAUCAAUUACACAUGUGGAUUUAAUACAAGUUGGAUCAUUUUCCUCAUCAGCUAACAUUUUCUUAUGCUAGUUUAGAUCCAAAUCCACACACCCAAUUUUGAUUUGCGCUUCCAUCAAACUAAUUCUUUUUACUGUAAAAAACAUAUUAUUUCAGUAAUAAAUGUUGAAUCAACCUUAUUUUAAUAAUAAAUUAUUUUAUUCCUUUUACUAUAGUAUUUUUUUCCCAUCAUGUUGAUUUAGGUAUAGUUUGGAUAGACAUUGCAUUUACUUGUGUUUAGUAUAAAAACAACAGUGACGAUAAAAUUAGAUAAAAGUGAACUAAUUGCACCGCACUAGCCAUCCAAAUCCAAGUAUCAUACUCUUCUUUUAGUUUUUUUUAAACCCUAAAUAAGAAAGACAACCUCAUUUAGCGAAGUCAUUAACCCCUUUCUUAAAUUUCCAUAAUAAAACUCGUACCCUAUUCAAAAACCCUAUUUUAACAAAAUUCAACUAUCUUUGAAUUAUUCGUAACUCUAUAUUUGUAAUACAGACAUGGUGAUCAGUUAGACCUUUAAUUACUUAACAUACUUUUUUUUUAUUGACUCCUUUAAUUUUAAUUUAAUAAUUUUAUAAUUUAAUCUAAAGAGGUCAAAUUCGAAUUAUUGUUUUGAUAUAAUUUUUAAUUUAACAAGAGCUAAAUCAUACUUUAUAGGAUUUGAACCUUGGACGAUAGGUUUUGAAGACCCACAUGCUACCGAACUAAACUAAUAUCACUUUCUUAUCAUAAUAAAUAAAAUUGUAAAAAAAAUCCUUUUAUUUUAUAACCCUAAUACAAUACAUUGUAUGUUGUAUAUAUAUAAUAUGAGAAAAUGAUAGAUUGAGCAAAAUUGCAUCAUAGGUUGUGUUCAAAAUUCAAAUUCUUUUUGGUUUAGAGGGUUUUAUGUUUGGUUAGUGAUAAGUUUUUUCUUUCGCAUGUGAUUUAUCUUUUCGAUACGUAGGGUGAAGGAUUUAAAUUGUGGAAUGGUUGGUUUAUAUAAGCAGCUUAAGGUAAGAAAAGAAAAGCAAGAUAAAAUUUGAAAGAUGAUCCCAUUGUUGACUGAUUCAUUUACUGCGAGCUUCUCCCUCGAAUUGUAGCGACACUGAUGUACAAAAUAUUUCAAAGAUGUACAAAUUUUUCGAGCUUAAAAACUACAUUGAGUGUAUUUUCAUAGGAGUUCAGUUGAUUUAAAAACUACAUUAAAUGGUUUAGGAUUUAAGGUUUACUUCAGAUUUAUUAAAUGAUGAAAUUUUAUACAAUAAAUUUAUACUUUUAUAUUUAAAAAUAUUUAAUCUAAAACAUUCGAUAUAUUUAAAUAUUAGAUUUAAAAAAAUUGAUAAAUAAAUAAAGUCACUUAACUAAUAAUUUUUAGUAGAUAAAAUAAAAAAAAUUUAACAGAACAAAACGACGUUAUUUUAUUCAAAAUAAAAUAAUUUUUGCGGUAUUUUUACAAAAAACGCCGCAAUAGAUAAGUAAUAAUGGCGUUUUUUGUAAAAACGUCACAAAAUUUAUUUUACCUAGAUAAAAAAUUGGCGCUGCUUUUUCCCAAAUUUCCCCCCUAAAACCCCUAACUUUGCAAACAAAAUGAAAAAAAGAAGAGGAAAAUGGAGGUACCAAAGACGAUUCAGCACAAAACCUCUCCAAUCUACUUACGAGUUCUACCGUUUGUUUCCCUGAAAAAUAUAUGAGACUUAAUAUUUUCUGUUCCAUUUUUCCUCUUUAUUUUCUAAUUUUGGGUAUUAUUUACUCAGAUCCCCUUUCUUUUUAUUAUUGUUUUUUUUCUCUUAUAUUUUAGCUAGAAAUCGAUGAUGCAAGUUACUGUUGGUCUCAUUGCUGCUGGUAACAAGUUAUUGCUUAAAAUUCAUGGUAACAAAUCUACUUCAAAGGAAGUUAUUCAUAUUCCUUCGUAUCGAAGCGAAGUCAUUUACGGUGGUACUUGGUUCUCCAGCUCUCGUAAGUUUGUUCCCAGUUUUGUAUUUGCCAUCUAUACCAGGUUUACCUCUCUUACUUCUCUUCGUCUUCAUCUCCCUUUCAUUUAUUCGAUAUAAUGCUUCUUUAUACAAUUUGUUUCUGGUUUUCAGGGGGUGUUGUCUGUAAGAUGUUGAAGCAAGCGAUAUGGAAGGUGUUGAGCAAAAGGGUAGUUUCAGAUUCGGGUGAUAAACUUCUUUUGCCUUGUUUGUACUUGCCCACGCUAAAAAACGCCGCCAAAAGCUUAAAAAAGUGCCGCUAAAAGCCUUUUUUGGUGUAGUGAUUCUUUUACGGGCAGAAAAAAAGAAUCCCUCAUGCUUAGGGCUAAGAUUGGAAGGACCAAAUCUGAAUACAAGCAACACCUAAGUUUACAAUUAGAUAAAUGCAUUAAAAAGGUUUACUUAAAAAUGUUGUUAAAUUUUGGGUUCAAAUUAAAUAAAAGAAUGAAAUGGACUAAAAAUUUCUCAUGUUUUAGCAUCUUCACUUUAGGUAACUCUCUUAGAGGAGGGAAAUUUUGUUUAGGGUACAUAUUGUUUAAUAAUAGACAUCAAAAGUGAACUAUAAAAUUUUUCUCAGAUAUUUUCUAGGUAAUGUGUCCUUAUUUAUUUUAUAUGAUUAAAAAGUUAACAAAAUCUAGAUUCUUGUGCUCUAAGUGAUUCUCGAUUUAAUGUUUUAAUAAUAUUCAUUUAUAUAGAUUAAUAGUAGAACUAUGCUUUUAACAAGUUCAGAUUAUACUUGUUGAGCAAGAGUCGCUCAUUCUUUUAUCCCCUUUUUCCUUUCAAAUAUACAGUGGAGAAGUUUGGUAUUUUAGAAGUUGGAAUGUAAUAGUAUGUGUCGGAAAUGAUAGUUUCAGAACCUCAUUUCCAAUGAUCAAGUUCGUAAAUAUUAUUAUUUAAUAUUUAUGAGGUUAGUAUAGAGGUUAAUUGGAAAUUAGUCUUUCAAUUUUGUCAAUCGAAUAGUUAAUUAAAGUAUAAGGAUUAAAUUCUAAAAGUAAUAAAAGUUAAUCGUUAUAAAUUUUUAGUUAACCGAAUGACCAAUUAAACAAUUGGGUAUUUUUAAAUGAUUUAAAUAAUUAAAUAUAAAUUCUUAUGAUCAUAAAAAAGCAAUUCAAAAAUAAUAUUGUAACAUAAAAUAGAUAAAAAAAUUUAUAAUUUAAAUAAAUAAAUGUCAUGUUAUCUUUAUUCCAUAUAUUUAUAAAUUUGAUUGAUUUAAUUUAAUUGAAGUAAAUAUAAAAUUGAAUUAAAAUUGAAUAUAUAUUAACUAAUUAAAUUCAUAAAUUUGAUUAAUUAAAUUAAAUUAAAUAUAAAAAAUUAAAAGUGAAGGUAUAUUAAAUAUGUAUUAAUUUUUUGUCUUUGAUCCCACCCAAAUUUCAAUUAAAUAAUUUUUAAUAUAUUUUCAUUUAAAUUUAAUUAUAAAAUAUUGAUAAUAAUAUAAAAUUAAAUAUUUAUUUUUUAAUAUUUUAAAUUAUUAAAAAUCAAAUAAUGGAACAAAAUUUUUUUUUAACAAAGAUUAUACCAUUAUUUUACUAUUAGCUAAAAUGUGGUAAAUAAUAUAUUUGCUUUAUUGCAUUUCUUAAUACCAUUUAUUAUUGAAAUUUAAUUAUAGAAAUGAGACUCAUUUUAAAUAUAAUUAAAAAAUAUUUUAAGUUUAGUUUCUUCUUUUAUAUUAUAUAUACAAUAUAUUAUUUUUAUUUAUAUAAAAAAUUAAAAAUUAAUUAUUAUCUUGACAUUUUGGAUUUGUCGGCUUGUAAUUUCAAGCACCAGUCCUGAUUCCCAUAGUUGACAUUAUUUUCCAGUCUAAAGCUGCAAGAACUGCCCUCCUUGGCAUCUAAUACCGUGGUAUCCGAAAAGUAUUACUAAAAUUCAUACCAAAAACAAUUACCAUGGCUGAAUCCUUUGCAUUCGAGAUAGCCGGAAAAGUAUUGGAGAAACUAGGGAGUGCUGCCUGUGAAAGAAUUAGCUUGGCAUGGGGUGUUCGAGAGGAGUUUGAAAAGCUUAAGCUGACCCUAGCUGCUAUCAGAUCUGUAGUCUUGGAUGCUGAGCAACAACAGGUUCGUAGCCUGGAGCUCAGUCUUUGGCUACAAAGGUUCAAAGAUGCUUGCUACGACGUGGAAGAUUUGAUAGACGAGUUCGAGAUCCAAGCGUUGAGGGGGCUAGUCCUGGAACGGGGAAGCACUGGAAGGAAGGUACGCCAUUUCUUUUCUGGCUCUAAUCCUUGGGCAUUUAGCUUUAGGAUGGGCUAUAAGAUCAAAAAGGCUAACGAGAUGUUGAAUAAGAUUGCAGCUGAAAAGGCCAAGUUUCAUCUGACUGAAAAACAUGAAACUAAUGUCAUACAUCGUGAGAGGGAAACCUACUUCUUUGUUAAGACAUCUAGUGUCAUCGGUCGAGAUGAAGCUAAACAACACCUAGUUAACUUCUUAAUGAAUCCAACUGAUGGGGAAGAUAUCCCUGUCCUUCCCACAGUUGGGAUCGGAGGUAUUGGGAAAACUACCCUGGCCCAAUUGGUGUUUAACGAGGAGAGUGUGAAGUCGCAUUUUGAAUUGAGAAUCU
rnacentral:lncRNA from 1 species